ACAUCCCUAAUGCUGUUUUCUUCAGUUCCUGGAGUCUGCCAGCUGAGGACGACCAUCCACACAAGAAUAAUAAGGGACCUCUCGGAUAGAUUGAAUAGCUCUUCAUGGCACCCCUCCCUGUUGUGCAUGAGCUCAUCGUGAUGGUAACUUCUGGCAGUUGGGUGCCUUGUUCAGUUUCUGGAAGACCGCCAGCAAUGACAAUCCUCCAUUCCAAAGAUAAAACAAGAUGCAUCUGUGGACAUCCAAGGAGAGGAGUGACUUUUUCAACCUGCUUGAUGGAUUUUGGGAAGAGGUGCAACUUCUUCUAGUUGACUUGGACUCCGAGAUCUGUGAGCAGAGUCAAGACAUAAUGGAUCUGUGAAGAUCUGAGGAGCUCAGUCUAAAAGGUCUGAACACCCUGGCAGUUGUAAAGAAACUGAACAAGGCGCCCAACUGCUGGAAGUAAUAGUCACAAUGAGCUUGUGCACAGCAGGAAGGGACGCUAUGAAGCACUAUUCAAUCUAUCCGAGAGGUCCCUGCGCAGGCGCAGCAAUCCAAUAACCAUGAAAGCCAACAAAUCGCAAUCCAGAUCUGUAAUGUUAUAUUCUAGUGACUUCUUGUACUGUUCAUUUGGACUCAUAUUUAUAUAAAUAAAACAUACUAAAAAAAACUGAAAAA